CUUACCUGGGUUUGACAUGGAUCGGGAGUGCUCAGAGAUGGGUGUGCCUCUUUUGGGGUCGGUUCACAGGUGGUGCAUGGCUGUCGUCAGCUCGUGUCGUGAGAUGUUGGGUUAAGUCCCGCAACGAGCGCAACCCUUGUUCACUGUUGCCAGCACGUUAUGGUGGGGACUCAGUGGAGACCGCCGGGGUCAACUCGGAGGAAGGUGGGGAUGACGUCAAGUCAUCAUGCCCCUUAUGUCCAGGGCUUCACGCAUGCUACAAUGGCUGGUACAGAGAGUGGCGAGCCUGUGAGGGUGAGCGAAUCUCGGAAAGCCGGUCUCAGUUCGGAUUGGGGUCUGCAACUCGACCUCAUGAAGUCGGAGUCGCUAGUAAUCGCAGAUCAG
rnacentral:rRNA from 1 species